ACGCUCGACACCUACGGGAGGCAGCAGUGGGGAAUAUUGCACAAUGGGGGAAACCCUGAUGCAGCGACGCCGCGUGAGCGAAGAAGUAUCUCGGUAUGUAAAGCUCUAUCAGCAGGGAAGAAAAUGACGGUACCUGACUAAGAAGCACCGGCUAAAUACGUGCCUGCAGCCGCGGUAAUCUGAGCGGGCUGGCAAGGC
rnacentral:rRNA from 1 species